GUGACAAAGUAUUUUAUUUGAUAAAAAAAAAACACAUUACAAUGUGUAUUAUAUAAAUAUGGUUAACAAAAUAUGUGUAUAAACAAACAAAUAUAUAAUUUAAAAAAUAGUAAUCAAAUAGAGAAUAUACACAUUAUAUACAAAAACCUUUUAUGAAUAGUGACAAUAACAAAGGAAAUCUCAAUGAUAUCAAUAUAUAAAUAUAUAUAUAUCUUUCCAAAAAUCAAGAGUAAUUACAUGUAACAUGUUGAAACAAUACAAGUUGAAUAUUUUUUCUUAGAUCUAAAGAUAGCAUCAUAGUAGUCUGAUCUGUGAUUUAAACCCAUUAUGUUCUAUUCCUGAUUUUAACAUUGUGCCUGAGAGCUUGAAUCGCGGAUGUUACAUACAAAGCAGGACACACUUACCAUGUCGGCGCAUCGGGUCCCGCCCCUUUUGAAGUUUAUGCGAUUCCCGAGUUUGUGUUUGCUGCCUUGAUUUGUCUCUGUUAAUAAUUGAUUUACAAUAUAUGGACCACGGUACACUUAUUUUAUUCCUUCUUUCUCAUCGAGACGGAAUGGAGUUUAAGAUAAUAUGCUGGCAACGAAAGCUAGGCAUGAAUUUAAGAAUAAAACAAUAAACUAAUAUUGAAACUUUAAGUAUUAUAUUUCAACAUUUUAAGCUGAGGAUUCAAAUGUACUCAAUAAUAUCUUGAGCAUCUUUAAGAUAGAACGAAAAUUUAAUUACAAAAACAAAUCACUUGUAUCGUAGUAAACGAAUAUAAAAUUAAAUGAGAUUAUUUGUAUAUUUUAACAAAACAAACUAAACAAAAAAAAAAAUAACAAAAAAUAGCAAAACAAAACAAAAAACAACAUAUCCUUUCGUGAAACGGAACAGUUUGUGUGCUAAAAAUACAAAAGAGAUCAAAGGCCAAGUAAUACAGUUUAAAAAUUCGAGAGAAGAUACCAAAGUGGCACUCACAAAUUAUGUCUUAUAAAAACAGACAACAGCAUGGCCAUGAACAUUGCAACUUCUCUCGUAAUCAGUAAGAAUUCAUUAGCAAAUCUUCUGAGACAUUUUUAGCCAUUGUUGACAGAAAAUGAUCUACACUAGGACAGAUCUUGACUGUUCUACCCUGGAACAGAUUUUUUUUAUUUAAAAACAUUUUUUACCCAUAACUUAUCUGACAGUUCUACCCUGAUAUUAUCAGGGGCGUAUCCAGCCAUUUAAAACAAGAGGCUCUCAAGAGCCUGAAUCGCUCACCUUAAUUCUUUUGGUUAAAUCUCUCAUCAAUGAUUAUUUUGGCUUUUCAAUUUAUUUAAAUGUUUUU
rnacentral:lncRNA from 1 species